GAUGAACGCUGGCGGCGUGCCUAAUACAUGCAAGUCGAGCGAACAGACGAGGAGCUUGCUCCUCUGACGUUAGCGGCGGACGGGUGAGUAACACGUGGAUAACCUACCUAUAAGACUGGGAUAACUUCGGGAAACCGGAGCUAAUACCGGAUAAUAUAUUGAACCGCAUGGUUCAAUAGUGAAAGACGGUUUUGCUGUCACUUAUAGAUGGAUCCGCGCCGCAUUAGCUAGUUGGUAAGGUAACGGCUUACCAAGGCAACGAUGCGUAGCCGACCUGAGAGGGUGAUCGGCCACACUGGAACCGAGACACGGUCCAGACUCCUAAGGGAGGCAGCAGUAGGGAAUCUUCCGCAAUGGGCGAAAGCCUGACGGAGCAACGCCGCGUGAGUGAUGAAGGUCUUCGGAUCGUAAAACUCUGUUAUUAGGGAAGAGCAAAUGUGUAAGUAACUAUGCACGUCUUGACGGUACCUAAUCAGGAAGCCACGGCUAACUACGUG
rnacentral:rRNA from 1 species